UACGUAGGGUGCAAGCGUUGUCCGGAAUUAUUGGGCGUAAAGAGCUCGUAGGCGGUCUGUCGCGUCGGAUGUGAAAAUCCAGGGCUCAACCCUGGACCUGCAUUCGAUACGGGCAGACUAGAGUUCGGCAGGGGAGACUGGAAUUCCUGGUGUAGCGGUGAAAUGCGCAGAUAUCAGGAGGAACACCAGUGGCGAAGGCGGCUCACUGGCCCGUUACCGACGCUCAGGCGCGACAGCGUGGGGAGCAAACAGG
rnacentral:rRNA from 1 species